rnacentral:rRNA from 1 species
UACGUAGGGGGGCAAGCGUUGUCCGGAAUCAUUGGGCGUAAAGAGCGUGUAGGCGGCUCGGUAAGUCCGCUGUAAAAGUCCAGGGCUCAACCCUGGGAUGCCGGUCGAUACUGCCGGACUAGAGUUCGGAAGAGGCGAGUGGAAUUCCCCGGUGUAGCGGUGAAAUGCGCAGAUAUCGGGAGGAACACCUAUGGCGAAGGCAGCUCGCUGGGACGUUACUGACGCUGAGAACGCGGAAAGCGUGGGGAGCAAACAGG